rnacentral:rRNA from 1 species
GAUGAACGCUGGCGGCGUGCCUAAUACAUGCAAGUCGAGCGAACUGACGAGAAGCUUGCUUCUCUGAUGUUAGCGGCGGACGGGUGAGUAACACGUGGAUAACCUACCUAUAAGACUGGGAUAAUUUCGGGAAACCGGAGCUAAUACCGGAUAAUAUUUUGAACCGCAUGGUUCAAAAGUGAAAGACGGUCUUGCUGUCACUUAUAGAUGGAUCCGCGCUGCAUUAGCUAGUUGGUAAGGUAACGGCUUACCAAGGGAACGAUGCAUAGCCGACCUGAGAGGGUGAUCGGCCACACUGGAACUGAGACACGGUCCAGACUCCUACGGGAGGCAGCAGUAGGGAAUCUUCCGCAAAGGGCGAAAGCCUGACGGAGCAACGCCGCGUGAGUGAUGAAGGUCUUCGGAUCGUAAAACUCUGUUAUUAGGGAAGAACAUAUGUGUAAGUAACUGUGCACAUCUUGACGGUACCUAAUCAGAAAGCCACGGCUAACUACGUG